CUCCACUUGACGCGUUUCGCCCUAAACAGGGCUUCCUCAGAAGUUUACCGAUCGGCAAAUUCAGUCCUUGGUUUGGAUGUUUAAAAUAUUGGUCAGGAUUUUAACAAUCUGGCCCCUAUUUUAAUAAUUCAGAAGUGAGUUUUAGCCGUCCAGUCCCUGAAAUCUGGACAGACACAAUUCUGUCUCAUUUGUAGCCAGUAUUGCAAAAUCUGGACUUUGUUUAAUUAGUAUGAACAUUUUUAUUGUCUGAAUGGCCGGAUUCUGCUGUCCGAAUGCCUUAACGGCAAAUCUGGACAUGGAGCAUUCAGACUUUCAUAAAUAACCCCUGGUUCUGGAAAUGUCUCGUAGACUAACAAAUAUGGACAAAUUAACAAUUUUCCUUCUUUCUUGAUCAGUUUUGUGUCUCAGAAAUACAGAAAACCUGCCUGAACAAUGAAAUAUAUGGUAAGUGACUCUUUG